rnacentral:rRNA from 1 species
UACAGAGGGUGCGAGCGUUGUUCGGAAUUAUUGGGCGUAAAGGGCGCGUAGGCGGUGCGGCAAGUCACCUGUGAAACCUCUGGGCUUAACCCAGAGCCUGCAGGCGAAACUGCCGUGCUGGAGUGUGGGAGAGGUGCGUGGAAUUCCCGGUGUAGCGGUGAAAUGCGUAGAUAUCAGGAGGAACACCUGUGGCGAAAGCGGCUCACUGGACCACAACUGACGCUGAGGCGCGAAAGCUAGGGGAGCAAACAGG